GUCUCAGUUCGGAUUGCAGGCUGCAACUCGCCUGUAUGAAGUCGGAAUUGCUAGUAAUCGCGCAUCAGCCACGGCGCGGUGAAUACGUUCCCGGGCCUUGUACACACCGCCCGUCAAGCCAUGGAAGCCGGGGGCGCUUGAAGUGCGUUGCCGCAAGGCGCGCCCUAGAGCGAAACCGGUGACUGGGGCUAAGUCGUAACAAGGUAGC
rnacentral:rRNA from 1 species